rnacentral:lncRNA from 1 species
UAGGGUGCGACAACGAUGAGGGACUCAACUUUUUCGAAGUGCUACAGCAACUGUAUCCAGCCUAGCAUAUUCCAGAUAGAAAAGUACGGUCAGACUUGUUGUUUCUUGACGCUCAGCUAACAUAGCUCAUCUGAAGUGUUCUACCUGAGGCGGAAUACGUUCACCAUAGUUAACGCAACGGCGUGUACAUCACAUAGAACCCGGUUUGUAAAUAUAAGGUGGUAAGCUAGUUGGCGAAUAAGCCCAAAUUUGAUUGAACAAGAUUGUGUUUGCACUUGUAUUGCAUCUCGUCCUUAAGCAACCGCCGUGGCACCCCAACGAACAGGCUGCCCCCUUAUAACGCGGGAGAAAAUGCCAGAAGUCGCUUACAUUGCAGUCCGAUGAUCCAUUGCCAUUAUCAUUGGAGACAUACAAGGUAGCCUGCGCCUGUUCCAUUGAUGUUCGUGAUACAUACGCGUCACGCAGUUGUACGUAGCAUUUACGUAACGGCUAUAGGUAAGAAGACAUCAUCUUCACCUGGCUGGCUUCUGGUCACAGCGGCUAUUAAACCAACAUCGGAAACGAUCGUUGAACAACCCAUCGCAGAAGACCCGCACAUAAGACACCAAAACUUAGAUGUGAUUCAUGUCUAUUUGGACGGGAAUUGAAAAUCGUUUCGUUCGUUCUGGUCUUCGCCUCGCCUUGCUGUGCUGUGGCCAUAUUGUUUCGCCACUCUGCCACUAGCAUUUUCCCUAUUUACUGCCUCUGUCUUUAGUCUUGACAAAAGCUUUAGAACCAAUCGAGAACCCGGCGAAGGAUGUUCAUCUAGGGGACGCUUUACUUUAGAGCUUCGAGUUAAGUCAUGUGUGGACACGGGGUCAGCUUCACGGAGAAUCGCACUAUCGCUGGCCAAGUGAGACGAUGAUUAAAGCAAACAACGUUAGACAACUGAAAUGGCGGACAAUUGGCGCGAUAUUUGGAUUAGCUUGAAAUUUUACUUUGGGGACGGUGCUCCAUUCAGCGCACGCUAGGAAAGCCAAUAGAGAGGAAGGGCAGAAACGUAAAUAAACACAGUAAACCGUUGU